CCCGCUCAGAAACUCAAAGGAAUUGACGGGGGCCCGCACAAGCGGUGGAGCAUGUGGUUUAAUUCGACGAUACGCGAAGAACUUACCCGGGUUUGACAUUGUAUCGAAGCAUCCAGAGAUGGAUGUGUCUCUUCGGAGACGGUAUGACAGGUGGUGCAUGGUUGUCGUCAGCUCGUGUCGUGAGAUGUUGGGUUAAGUCCCGCAACGAGCGCAACCCUUGUGUUUAGUUGCAAACAGGUCAAGCUGUGCACUCUAGACAGACUGCCGUGGACAACACGGAGGAAGGUGGGGAUGACGUCAAAUCAUCAUGCCCCUUAUGAUCUGGGCUACACACGUGCUACAAUGGCCGGUACAACGGGCAGCGAAGGAGCGAUCCGGAGCGAAUCCUAAAAAGCCGGUCCCAGUUCGGAUUGCAGGCUGAAACUCGCCUACAUGAAGUUGGAGUUGCUAGUAAUCGCGAAUCAGAAUGUCGCGGUGAAUGCGUUCCCGGGUCUU
rnacentral:rRNA from 1 species